rnacentral:rRNA from 1 species
UCGGGAAUUUUGGGCAAUGGGGGAAACCCUGACCCAGCAACGCCGCGUGAAGGAUGAAGUAUUUCGGUAUGUAAACUUCGAAAGAAUAGGAAGAAUAAAUGACGGUACUAUUUAUAAGGUCCGGCUAACUACGUGCCAGCAGCCGCGGUAAUACAGAGGGUGCGAGCGUUAAUCGGAUUUACUGGGCGUAAAGGGCGCGUAGGCGGUGUGUCAAGUCAGUUGUGAAAUCUCCGAGCUUAACUCGGAACGGUCAACUGAUACUGUCACACUAGAGUACAGAAGGGGCAAUCGGAAUUCUUGGUGUAGCGGUGAAAUGCGUAGAUAUCAAGAGGAACACCUGAGGCGAAGGCGGGUUGCUGGGCUGAUACUGACGCUGAGGCGCGAAAGCUAGGGUAGCAAACGGGAUUAGAUACCCCUGUAGUCCCUGAGCGGGCUGGCAAGGCGCAU